rnacentral:sRNA from 1 species
AUAUCUCUCUGUACGGGAAGGAUGAGAAGCUUCGACUAAGGUUCGAUUCGAGCGAAAGCGAGAAAGCGUUGCCGCAGGCAACGACCC